AUCGGAUUGCAGCUGUGUGGGAAAGGCCCAAGCAGUUCCUGUCCCCAGGCCAAGGCUGGGAGGGCUGAAGGGAUAGGGGUCUCAGGAACUUCUGGGCUGGCUUUUGGCAUUGGUACCGAGUGCCCGAUCUGGGUCUGCAGGGAGCCUGCUUCAGGAUGCUUUGCUCCCUCGCUGGGACAGCCUACCUUGAAUUCAGAUUGACUGUUGCCAAGCAUGUAGAUGCUCCCAGCUCUGUUUGUGACACAGCCUGCAGCCAGAGGCAGUGUCUUGUGGGGUUCUUUACCUUGGGUUAUUUACUUAGUUAUGUUUUGUUGUUGCGUUGGGGUUUGUUUGUUUGUUUGUUUGUUUUUAGGUUUUGCCACCAUGCCCAGGACUUAUCCUGGUUCUUCAGGUUAGGUUCAGAU
rnacentral:lncRNA from 1 species